CCGGACCAGGGGCCUCCCGAUGGGAGAGAUGCGGCGGCCCGAAGACCCUUCCUUUUGAAACCUGGGGAAGCCGGACAGGUCUCUGCUCCCCCUCCCCAAUAAGCCUCUGGACUCGCCGGCUCUUCCUCCCGGCUCUUAGGUGACCCUGGACGACAGCUCCCAGUCAGAAAAGCCACCAGAGAAUAGAAGCUUCAGAUGAGAGUCAAAGAAGGGGAUCAGAGAAGAACCGGACAUGACAGACCCAGGGAGCCACUGCUGCCUUGCUGUGUUUAAAACCGUGGAGUUCACACAAGAAAUCGCCUCUGUACACUGGGAAGGUCCCACUGCAGCAGGUCUAAAGAGUGUGUCCACAUGGGAUGAAAAGUUUGGCAUACAAAGGAACCCCAGUGGGAAUUUGUAACCCCGAAGGCUGAUGGAGUGAACCCCGAAGGCUGAUGGACUGAGAUGAUUUGUCAGUUAAAUACUGAGAUCCUGGAAGACACCAUGGACCUACAAUGCCUGCAUCACACAGUGAGUUCUUGGUACCUAGUAGGAAGACCAAAAAGAAAAUCUUCAUUAGAUGUUGCCUGUAUAGGGAAUACAACAUUUAUUAAGGUGAAAAACUGAGACUGAUGGGUUUUUUUAUUACAACAACUGGUAUCACUAAUAUGCUACUAAUAAAAAAGGCUCAUCUGUC